rnacentral:SRP_RNA from 1 species
GCCGGGCGUGGUGGCUCGCGCCUGUAGUCCCAGCUACUCGGGAGGCUGAGGCACAAGAAUCGCUUGAACCCAGGAGGCAGAGGUUGCAGUGAGCCGAGGUGGUGCCACUGCAUUCCAGCCUGGGUGACAGAGCGAGAUUCUGUCUCAA